GACAGAGGGUGCAAACGUUGUUCGGAAUUACUGGGCGUAAAGCGUGCGCAGGCGGUUGUGCAAGACAGAUGUGAAAUCCCCGGGCUUAACCUGGGAACUGCAUUUGUGACUGCACGGCUGGAGUGCGGCAGAGGGGGAUGGAAUUCCGGCGUGUAGCAGUGAAAUGCGUAGAUAUCCGGAAGAACACCGAUGGCGAAGGCAACCACCUGGGGCCUGCAUUGACGCUGAGGUACGAAAGCGUGGGGAGCAAACAGG
rnacentral:rRNA from 1 species